UACGAAGGGGGCUAGCGUUGCUCGGAAUCACUGGGCGUAAAGGGUGCGUAGGCGGGUCUUUAAGUCAGGGGUGAAAUCCUGGAGCUCAACUCCAGAACUGCCUUUGAUACUGAAGAUCUUGAGUCCGGGAGAGGUGAGUGGAACUGCGAGUGUAGAGGUGAAAUUCGUAGAUAUUCGCAAGAACACCAGUGGCGAAGGCGGCUUACUGGUCCGGAACUGACGCUGAGGUGCGAAAGCGUGGGGAGCAAACAGG
rnacentral:rRNA from 1 species